AUGCUACAAAACUGGGCCAUUGCCCGAUUCGAUGUCCAGACAUCGUAUCGGUGAGUGACUCGGUCGCAGCUCCCCCCAUUCCCAUUCCCAUUCUCCAUUCACCCACCUGCGGCGGCGCAAGGCGAAGCGGAGGCGACGAGAUGUCAGCGACGACGGCGGCGGUGCCCUUCUGGCGCGCGGCGGGGAUGACCUACAUCGGCUACUCCAACAUCUGCGCUGCGCUGGUGCGGAGCUGCCUCAAGGAGCCCUUCAAGUCCGAGGCCGCGUCCCGCGAGAAGGUCCACUUCUCCGUCGCCAAGUGGGCGGACGGCAAGCAGGAGAAGCCCAGUGAG
rnacentral:lncRNA from 1 species